rnacentral:misc_RNA from 1 species
CGGUAAUCCAGCUCAUCAAGGUAGUCUCUUUUCUGCAAUUUAGUCAAUCUCUCAAAUUGAGAUUUUGUCAGGAUUCGGAUUGGAGGUAAUUGAUCAUAUUCAUCUUCUUCUUCUGCAUCAGAAAGCAAAAUAUCAUUAACAUCGUUAUCUGCUUCAUUUGGGUUUGAUACACGGUGCCGUAGAAGAGAUGAAAGGAGAUGUGGCAGUGAAGGCACCCGGGGGCUGGAUGACCCCAACUCAAUACUGCCUUGAAAUUCCAAGAGAGUACUAACAUCACCAAGAAUUUUGGUACAUAUGCAUAACAAUAAGAAUUGAGAUUUCCAAGCUUGUCCAUUGGGAAGAAUAUUUUCCCCCAAUAAAUUUUUUUUACACUGAGGAUGAUUUUCUGCUAA